rnacentral:rRNA from 1 species
AGAGGGGGCAAGCGUUGCUCGGAAUCACUGGGCGUAAAGGGCGCGUAGGCGGGAUGGCAAGUCAGUCGUGAAAUCUCUCGGCUCAACCGAGAAACGUCGGCUGAUACUGCCGUUCUUGAGGGAUGCAGAGGAGACUGGAAUUCCCGGUGUAGCGGUGAAAUGUGUAGAGAUCGGGAGGAACACCGGUGGCGAAGGCGGGUCUCUGGGCAUCUCCUGACGCUGAGGCGCGAAAGCGUGGGGAGCAAACGGGAUUAGAUACCCCGGUAGUCCACGCUGUAAACGAUGACGACUAGGUGUGGGGUGGUUCAGUCCAUUCCGUGCCGCAGCUAACGCAUUAAGUCGUCCGCCUGGGGAGUACGGCCGCAAGGUUGAA